rnacentral:rRNA from 1 species
UACGAAGGGGGCUAGCGUUGCUCGGAAUCACUGGGCGUAAAGCGCACGUAGGCGGAUUGCUAAGUCAGGGGUGAAAUCCUGGAGCUCAACUCCAGAACUGCCUUUGAUACUGGGAAGCUCGAGUCCGGAAGAGGUGAGUGGAACUCCGAGUGUAGAGGUGAAAUUCGUAGAUAUUCGGAAGAACACCAGUGGCGAAGGCGGCUCACUGGUCCGGUACUGACGCUGAGGUGCGAAAGCGUGGGGAGCAAACAGG